rnacentral:lncRNA from 13 species
UAGGCCUGCCUGUUUUUGUGCGGGCUUGUUUUUCUGUUAGUCAGGUUGUGCGUGUUGUGUUCCUGUCUGUGUUGGGUUGGACCAUUUUGUGUCGAUUUUCGCUGUUGUCUUGGGCGUUCGCUUUGGAAACCUAAUAAAGUCGGUUUCCCCAGUAUCAUCUGCUCUCUGAAUUUGACUCCUCACCCACCACUCCAGGCCUGGUGACAGACAUGCAAUCUGCAGAAGACCCCAACACCUUUCUUCAGGCGAGACCACUCUUCAGCCCUGUCGUGAUUGUCUGCGAAACAAACUGCGUACUGGCCAUUGAAACCAUGCCUGUGGUGACCUUCCCAAAAGAGGACAUCUAUGCCAGAGUGACGUAUCUCAUGGCAUGUUAUUACGCCUUUCACCUCACAUAUCCCAAGUGUAUGGCGACACUCCUCUCUGUGCUGCAGACAUAAGUCCUCUCGGACGUCAUUCACGACCGGGACAAGACUUCUUCAUAUAAAAAGACUAUGGCCAAGUGAAAAAAGUUCAUUACUGACUAGGGUUGCAACAUUUCUUCAUUUCAGGUCCCGAUAUUGGACCACACGAGAACCGAUCCGAUAAUCUUUAAUAAAUAGGCAGGGCAUUUGUUGUUUAUUAUAAGAAGGUUUAAAGCACUGUUAUGUUUGUUAUCUUCCCAUUGGUCUUACAUUUUUACCUUGACCACCAAUAGCCUUUGUUGUUGUUUUUGCACACUGUUCUGCCCAUACCAGCCUCUUGAGUCCUCAAUAAAGAAGUGAAAAGAAAUUAGAUUCAUUAUUUCUUUAAAAAAGCCGAUCUCAAUUCUAGUAGUAGUACAAGUACAUUUAUCUUAGUCAAGAUUACUUAUUUUAAGCACAAUAUGCUAUUUUUCUGUAAAUUCCUGGGAAUAUUGCCUUAUUUCAAGACGAUUGCAAUAGCAUUGGAUUCUAAAUUUAAGCACAUUUUCCUACAUAUUGAAAAAAUAAUUCUUAAAUCUUUAUUUUUAUCCAGACAAAUGUACUUGUUUUUAGUGUAGCUGUACUAGUUUUAAGAUAUAUUUACUAAACAUAUAGCCUUAUUUCAAGAUGAUGGCACUAGCAUUUGCUUAAUUUAAGCAUAUUUUCCUACGUAGAAAAAAUUAUUCUUAAAUCUUUUCUUUGUAUGCAGACAAAUUACUUGUUUUUAGUCUGAACGCACUAGGUUUAAGAUAUCUGUGCGUUCUUUGAGACUAGAUAUUUGUACUUAAAAAAAUGAUUAGCAAGUAAAAUGUUCCUGUUCUGUUGGCAGAUAACUUUUCUUAUUUUAAGUCAUAUUUCCCUCAUUUUAUAGCUUUUUUUCUUGUUUUUGAGAGCUGACUUUUUGCAGUGCAGUUCAAUGUCGGGGGUACAGAGUCUCUCUCUUACCAGGAUAAUAAUCUAGACAUAAUUUAAUGUUGUAGCGUUAAGAUUUCCCUUCACUGGUAUUAAGGGGCCUAGCCCGAACAAUGAAAACAGCCCCAGACCAUUAUUCCUACUCCACCAAACUUUACAGUUGCUACUAUGCAUUGGGGCAGGUAACACUCUCCUGGCAUCAUGGCAGUCCGCCAAACCCAGAUUCGUCGUACUGCCAGAUGGUGAAGCGUGAUUCAUCACUCUAGAGAACGCAUUUCCACUGCUCCAGAGUCCAGAGCUCCCGACAAACUCAUAAAGCUCCCGACGUUGCUUCCAGAGGCAGUUUGAAACUCGGUAGUGAGUGUUGCAACCGGGGGCAGAUUAUUUUUACGCGCUUCAGCACUUGGCGGUCCCAUUCUGUGAGCUUGUGUGGCCUACUACUUCACGGCUGAGCCGUUGUUGCUCUGAGACGAAUCCACUUGAGUGAGUGUGGCUGAAAUAAUCGUAUCCACUAAUUUGAAGGGGUGUCCACAUAAUUUUGUAUAUAUACUGUAAGUAUUCAGAUCCUUUGCUAUGUGACAAAAUGGCACAUUUGAUUAGCAUUGCCCAACACAUGUAUUAAUAUUUUCUGUC